CCUCCACAGAGUUUCCCAAGGUUGGAUAAUGCCUGUGAUCAUUUCCCAGGACUCUGGCAAGCCUUCCCAGGAGAACCAUCUGAAGGGCACUGGCCUUUCCACUUCUCUCUGUCUUCCUGGAGGCCCCACUAGUCCAGCCAAAAAGGCCAUUGAGCCCCGGGAGUGGAGUCACAGAGAGGUGAGGGUGUCCCUGGCUCUGCCUAUGCUCUGAGCCCAGUGCUCUCUGAAGUACCCUGGGAAGUAGCCAGUCUCUACUCCCACCCUUUGGCCAGCCAUAGUUCCAUGAGAAGAAUCCUAGGUGGUUCACUCUCUACGAGGCUCCUUCCUCCCCAGCAAAGUUGUUGAAUAUUUAUUGCACAGUAAAUUGAGUCUUUGUAUCUCCACUGCUGCCCAUUAUGUGCAGUCCACAGUGGGCUCUCUGCACGAUCUGACCUCUACGUCUCUCCCACUCUGACCUGAUUCAUAUCAUAGUCCUCACCGUGCCCUCCUUUGGCCAUACUAACUUCAUUGUGCCUGUAGUUCCAACCUCUUUCUUACCUCUAGGCUUGGCCAGUGUAAUUUCCUUUUCCCCAGCUCUUCACCUGAGUGAUUUCUGCUCAUUUCUCAGGUCUUUGCAUAAAAUACUCUCUUUCAGGGAAAGCUUCCCGGAAAUUUGAUAGUGAGCUGCAGAACAGACUAGGCUAGAGAGACCAGAGACUGGGAAGUCUGUCCUAGGCUAAGACCUCAUGGUCAAAGCCCAAAGUGGGAUGUGCAUAAGCCAAACUGGAAAAGGAAAGGAAAAGACAGAUUCUCGUGACCAGUCCAACAAAUUUGGGAGUGAAAAAUACAGAGAAGUUGACAAUAUAAAAAUAUGCUGUGUCCACAACCUGUGUGAAGCUUACUUUUAGGCGUUUCUGUCCUAGGAAAGAGAGAGGCCCUAACUGAUUUGGCAGCAAAUUUCUAACUAACACUUUUAUGUGGGUCCCAUCCUCCCAGGAAAAUGGAGAGUCUCUUGCAAGAGAAGUAUCUCUUCUCAUUGCACAUGCAUUCCUUUUUACUUCUAGCAGAAUUCUGGCUGUCUUCUCAGUUCUGGGCCUCAAAUUUAUAAUGCUUAUCUCAAAGAGCUUCUAGUUCUUCAACCAUUUUCUGCAGGAGCCAGAGUCGGGGGUGGGGACAAGGAGACAAAGCCGUCUUUUCCCCCUUGAUCUUACUGUACCAUGAGUCCCAGCAGGAGAGAGAUGGCAUUUCAGUGUUACCUUACUGCUCUGUUACUGGAGAGAAUAUAAUGAAUGGACUGUUUAUAAAGAUGUGGGCAGGAUGGAAGGCAUCAGGCAAGGGAAUGGUGCAACACCUCCAGGACCUAACUGUGCAGUGCCAUCAGCUCAGGAAGCUUGAAAACACAAGAGAGGAAGUGAUUAUAAGAACCCAACGAGGGCUGUAGAUGAAGGAGGGGUUGCUGUGGCCUUCCUGCAGGAAACAACCAGCCACACCACGGCCCACCCAUCCCCCACGGGCAAGGAACUAGAAUAAUAAACACCCUGCCGCUCUUUUCUCCUGCUCUCCUGUUUCCUGCUGGCGUCCACUGUGGCCUCAGGUCGACCAGAACUGAGAAGGCGAGGAAGCUCCAUUGGCACAGUUUAUACAGCUUGGCCCCAGGGACAGGGCAUGGUGGAGGAGAAAGAGGAGCAGAACUGGAGAGACCAACAGAACAUCCAGCACGCAAGUAUUUCAUACACAGGAUAAAGCCACACACUAGAAAAUGGCGCCAACUGUGGACCUAGCAUGAGGAAAUGAUGUCAAGCUAAGGCAGGGCUUUGAGUAAACGGGAAAGAGAAAGCUGGUCCACAGGGACAGGAGGCUGGCCUCCAGGUCCGGAAAGAAGCAGGAAACCCAGGGCCAGUGGAGACAGAGCAGGAGAGAAACUGCAAAUGCCCCUUCAGGUUCCUGGUUCCAGUUCUCUGGAAAGGCCUGGUGACCUGUUUUUGUGAAAGUCCCUUGAUUCCACACAAAACAUCACCCUUUUACGUAAGACAGCAUGAGGAAAUUUUCAGUUUGACAACCAAAGAACUUUGGGUAUACUUCAUUUGAAACAAAAGAACCUUGAGCACACCGAAUUUCAUUUAAUCCCCAUAACAACCCUGAAAGGUGGGCACCUUCACCCCCAUUUUAAAGAUGAGGAUAUUGAAGGUCCCGGUAAGAUUAGAUAAUCUUCACUGAGGAAGCUGGGACUCACUUACUCUUGGCUUGGCCUGGCUCCAACACUUCAGAAUUUUCUAGGACUCCACAAGCUGACAAAGCUGGCUGAAAGCAAUUUCCAAAACCAGAAGAGAACCCCACCCUUGACCAGGUCACCCCUGUGGGGAAACGACUUGCUGUCUCAGCUUGCUAGCUAAGGCUCUUUGGGGUCCUGCUGAGGAGCUGGCAGGCAUGGCCACCCAGCACAGAAAUGUUUGACAGGGUCAAGGAAGGGACCAACUCUGGAUUUGUAAAACUACAGCCAAGUUUUGUUUUGUUUUGUUUUGUGUUUUUUCCAAGAACUCCUAGAAGAGCAAUGUAUUUGCAAAAGCUGGAAUUCCUUAGCUAAAUACCAAGGACAGAGUUGACUGCACAUGGGAACGACCCUCCACCCUGUAUCCCCAAAUACCCAACACGAAGUGCCAGGUGAACAAUUCUCCAGGAGGACAGAAAUCCGGCAAUGUGGAUGUGAAGACGCAGGAUCCAGCCAGGGCAGGAGAGAAGGACCCGUGCCAGACAUGCCUGAUUCCACGCAUCAUCCCUUCUGUCUACCUUGUGGCGGGUUGGUCCCCCGGGACACAGACUCUGAGCCAGGCUACACGGAUCAAAGGCCACUGACCAGCUCAGGGACUGGCUGUGUUUAGGACCCUCCAAGAGUAUCAGCUAGUCUCUUCGAGUCAUGAUCUCCCUACAGGGUGAACCAUUGGGGAAAUACAUGUCAC